UGAGGAUAUGGCUCAGUUGGUAAAGUGCUUGUCUUGCAUGCACAAGGCUCUGGGUUCAAUCCCCAGCACAA
rnacentral:tRNA from 1 species